rnacentral:rRNA from 1 species
CGUCGAUCUAUGCCUGGCCAGAUUGAAGCCCGGUGAAAACUGGGUGGAGGAUCGAACCGUUGCUGAUGUGCAAAUCGCUCGGAGGAGUUGGGUAUAGGGGUGAAAGUCCAAUCGAGAUGGGCAAUAGCAGGUUCCGCGUGAGACUACUCGUAGGUAGACGUUCGUGGAGAUGGAUAGUGAUGUAGAGCACUGAUUGUGCGUUUAGGGGAAGCGAUUCCUCGGCGUGCUGUCAAACUCCGAAGUUGCUAUCGUCGUAGAAGCGAGCAGUGAGUGAUGGUGGGUAAGCUACCAUUACAAAAGGUGAUCAAACCAGCCUAAUGUUAAGGUCCCUAAGUUACGGUUAAGUGUUAAAUUAAACAGUGUCUAUGGUCAAAAACAACCAGAAGGUGGGCUUAGAAGCAGCCACCCUUUAAAGAGUUCGUAACAGAUCACUGGUCUAGUUUGUAGGCCUGAAAAAUGGACGGGGCUAAAACCGUACACCGAUACAUUGGUCCACCGCAAGGUGAUGAGGUAACGCGGCGUGGUGCUUGGGCGGAAGCAAGGUUUUGAGAUCUUGUGGACCGAGUACCAAUGAGAAUCUAGGGAAGAGUAGCAGCAUAGUGUGGUGAGAAUCCGCACCGCCGAAGGGGCCAGGGUUCCUCGGCAAUGUUUGUCAGCCGAGGGUUAGCCGGUCCUAAGAUUACUCUUAACAUAAGUAAUCGAAUGGGAAUUGCGUUAAUAUUCGUAAGCUAUCCUACAAUAAUGGUGACAGUUCGGGCUAGUUCGUCAGAUCAUAUAUCAGGUCUGCGAAGCGUCUCAUAACUUUCUGGAGAACCGUCAUGGUGAGAAGGAGAGGAAGGCGUGAGUGAGAUAUCGAAUGAGGCCUGGGCUCCAUGAAAAACCGUAGUGAUAUCCGUACCAAGAACUGACACAGGUGCCCCUGGGUGAGUAGCCUAAGGUGUCUCGGGUAAAGUAUCGUGAGGGAAUUCGGCAAAAUGGCUCCGUAACUUCGGGAGAAGGAGUGCCAGCUUAGAGAUAAGCUGGUCGCAGUGACUAGGGAGCUCCGACUGUUUAAUAAAAACAUAGGGGACUGCUAGAUCGAAAGGUUGUGUAUAGUCCCUGAAUCCUGCUCAGUGCUGGUAUCUGAAACCGGGUUUCAACCUGGCGAAGGACCAGUAAACAGCGGGGGUAACNAUGACCCUCUUAAGGUAGCGUAAUACCUUGUCGCUUAAUUGGCGACUUGCAUGAAUGGUCUAACGAGGGCUCCACUGUCCCCACGAUACGUCCGGCGAAAUUGACUUUACUGACGCACAGUUCAGUACCUUCCACCCGCAAGCGAAGACCCCAUAGAGCUUUACUACAGCCUGUCGUUGCAUAGUCGCACUUUUUGUGCUGAAUAGGUAGGAGAUGUCGAUCCUCAAGGCGCCAGCCUUGGGAGGAGUCACAAUUAGAGAUACUACCCUUGAAGGGUAACUAUGCUAACGCUUUAUGCGAACACCGAUAGGUGGGUAGUUUGGGUGGGGCGCCACGCGCUCGAAAAAAUAACAAGCGUGCCCAAAGGUCAGCUUAGAUGGUUCAGCACUCCAUCGUUAACUGUAAGGGGAUAAGCUGGCUUGACGUGGAUCGGCACAAUAACGAUCGACGAUGCGAAAGCAGGGCCUAACGAACCUACUAGCCUCAUUUCUGGGGGCAGUAGAUAACAGAAAAGUUACCUUGGGGAUAAUUGAGUUGUCACCAGCAAGAGCUCACAUCGACCUGGUGGCUUGCUACUUCGAUGUCGUCUCUUCCUAUCCUGGGUCUGCAGCAGGACCCAAGGGUGGGGUUGUUCGCCCAUUAAAAGGGAUCGUGAGAUGGGUUUAGACCGUCGUGAGACAGGUUUGUUGCUUGGUGGUGGAAGCGUUGUUGCUUGAUGGAAGGGGUCCUUCAGUACGAGAGGAACGAGGGCUCGGGGCCACUAGUUUACCAGUUGUCUGAUAAGGCAAUGCUGGGCAGCCACGCCCUAGCGGAUAAGAGCUGAAAGCAUCUAAGCUCGAAGCCGCCCCAAAGACGAGGCAAUGCAGAACGCUCGUAGAAGACGAG